UUUGCCACGAAGUAAUACCUUACCUAGUGGUUCUGUGGGAGAGUCUUGAGUUGAGAGUCAGCUUUUGCUGCUUCACCCUACUAUAAAAAAGGCAUGUCCUAGCGGAUAAGUAAGUUAGCGGUAACAGCGAUACCAAAACACGUGAUUUAAGUCAUACUUUUGGCGAUUACCACGCUUCUCUUGACCGUAAACGGGUGAUUGAUGGUGCUAAUAGAAUCCCAUAGCGUCUACCAGGCGAUCCAAAGCGUUGAAGCUACUCAAAUUCGAUUUUCAUCUUUGACUACAUAUCUAUGAUAGAUUUUUGUCAUUUUCUCAAGAUUUCGUUUUCUCAACUCGAAUGAUAAUUACUUUUAUAAAUUUAAUACCGUUAUGCAACUUUGGGAAAAACAGUGUAUUCUAUUUCAAUUCACAAAAAUGUUUCUGAUAAGAAAUAAAUUUAUUUCAUAUAUACAAACAUACAUACAUACAUGAACAGAUGUUUACUAAACCCGCACUUUGUAGAAAAGCGAUUACUUUCUCGAGCAUAACAUACAUACAUACAUAUGAUUGUAUGUAUAUGCUAUUCAAAGCUCUUUCUCUCACACACUCUCUGCCACUCACUGCGAUCGGCAAUUCUGUUGUUUUUCCACCAUUAUUCGGUUGAUUUCAGCCGCUACUGGUAGUAAUCAACCGAAACUCUCCGAGUGCAAAUAGAAAAAAUCUUAAAAUUAAGAUUUCUGUGUAACACAAACACAUAUUUACAAUAUAGGGGUGCCUUUAUUGCCACAAAGGUCAGCUGAUAAGGCUGCUGUCGGUAGUCAGCAGCGCUUAGCACGAAUUCUAUUUGUUUUGAAACUAUAAAUUAACGGUAGUUUAGCGCAACAGAUUCAGUUUGAGUUUCCAACUUGACAAGCAAACAGAAUAUAUAUACAAAUUCAUCAUGAAAGUGCUAUUCUUCCUCGCUCUGUUCGUUGCCGCGAUUUGCGCCGUUAUGGGUCAAAGCUGCCCGACCAACUUCAAGUGGGAUUCUGGCAACAAGCUCUGCACGGCUGAGCGUCCCAUUCAUGGCGAAUGUCCUCCCAACUCUCAAUACAAUUUGAACUACAACAAGUGCGUCUAUAAACGCCCUUAAAUGGUUUCAAUUUAUUGCGUCACUUUGUUCUUUGUCGUCAGAUGUUGUGAAUAAGAAUAAAAAAAUAUGAAAAGUUGAAA